rnacentral:rRNA from 1 species
ACUUACGGCCAUACCAUCCUGAAUACGCCUGAUCUCGUCUGAUCUCGGAAGCUAAGCAGGGUCGGGCCUAGUUAGUACUUGGAUGGGAGACCGCCUGGGAAUACCAGGUGCUAUAAGUG